AUGUCCUUGACCCAAUAUGAAAAGGUGAUAAACAAUGAGAAUGCAAAGGAUAGAAAAGAAGGGGAAUGCAGCUAUAGCAGACAUCAAGAGGAAAAGAAAAUGUCAGAGGAGGAAAAAAGCCUGCUUACAAGGCUGGAAAUACUGGAAGAAAUAACUGCUAGACAAGCUGCCCAACUGGCUGCUGAAGAAAGGAAAAGGAGAGAAGGAGAAAAAAUCAAAGUAGCUCUGGAAAUGGAGAUCAAAGGCAGCAUGAUCUACUUCAGGAAAAAGUUAAAAAUCUGGGAGCAGAGGAGGAGUCACAACCUGUGA
rnacentral:rRNA from 1 species